rnacentral:rRNA from 1 species
AUGCAACUUGUAGUAUUGCUUGUGCCUUUUGCCAUGUCAUUUAUCAUUAAACCGGACAUGCAUCAUACUUGGUUGUGCAUCAUGCCAUGUCUAUGUGUUGGUUGUUUACUAUGUUGUGUGUUUCUUUUCCCGUGUUUGCUUCUUCGGGUUGGUUCCGUUAACGUCGCAUUUGUGAGGAUCUGUUCGUCUACGUUCGUUUGUCUUCUUCAUGGACUCAUUCUUCUUCCUUGCGGGAUCUCAGGCAAGAUGAUCAUACCCUCGAAAUCACUUCUAUCUUUGCUUGCUAGAUGCUCGCUCUUUUGCUAUGUCUAUGCUGCGAUACCUACCACUUGCUUAUCAUGCCAUCCAUAUUGUUGA